rnacentral:rRNA from 1 species
AUAUCAAUAAGCGGAGGAAAAGAAACUAACAAGGAUUCCCCUAGUAACUGCGAGUGAAGCGGGAAAAGCUCAAAUUUAAAAUCUGUCAGUCUUUGGCUGUCCGAGUUGUAAUCUAGAGAAGCGUUAUCCGCGCUGGACCGUGUACAAGUCUCCUGGAAUGGAGCGUCAUAGAGGGUGAGAAUCCCGUCUUUGACACGGACUGCCAGGGCUUUGUGAUGCGCUCUCAAAGAGUCGAGUUGUUUGGGAAUGCAGCUCAAAAUGGGUGGUAAAUUCCAUCUAAAGCUAAAUAUUGGCGAGAGACCGAUAGCGAACAAGUACCGUGAGGGAAAGAUGAAAAGAACUUUGGAAAGAGAGUUAAACAGUACGUGAAAUUGCUGAAAGGGAAACGCUUGAAGUCAGUCGCGUUGUCCAGGGAUCAGCCUUGCUUUUGCUUGGUGUACUCUCUGGUUGACGGGUCAGCAUCAAUUUUGACUAUUGGAAAAAGAUUGAGGGAAUGUGGCAUCCUUGGAUGUGUUAUAGCCCUUGGUUGCAUACAAUAGUUGGGAUUGAGGAACUCAGCACGCCGAAAGGCCGGGUUUUAACCACGUACGUGCUUAGGAUGCUGGCAUAAUGGCUUUAAUCGACCCGUCUUGAAACACGGACCAAGGAGUCUAACAUGCCUGCGAGUGUUUGGGUGGAAAACCCGAGCGCGUAAUGAAAGUGAAAGUUGAGAUCCUUGUCAUGGGGAGCAUCGACGCCCGGACCAGACCUUUUGUGACGGUUCCGCGGUAGAGCAUGUAUGUUGGGACCCGAAAGAUGGUGAACUAUGCCUGAAUAGGGUGAAGCCAGAGGAAACUCUGGUGGAGGCUCGUAGCGAUUCUGACGUGCAAAUCGAUCGUCAAAUUUGGGUAUAGGGGCGAAAGACUAAUCGAACCAUCUAGUAGCUGGUUCCUG